rnacentral:rRNA from 1 species
AUUGAACGCUAACGGCGUGCUUAACACAUGCAAGUCGAGCGGCAGCAUGACCUGUAGCAAUACAGAUUGAUGGCGAGCGGCGGACGGGUGAGUAACGCAUAGGAAUCUGCCUUGUAGUGGGGGAUAACCCGGGGAAACUCGGGCUAAUACCGCAUAAUCUCUACGGAGCAAAGUGGGGGAUCGUAAGACCUCACGCUAAAAGAUGAGCCUAUGUUAGAUUAGCUAGUUGGUGAGGUAAUGGCUCACCAAGGCGACGAUCCAUAGCUGGUCUGAGAGGAUGAUCAGCCAAACUGGGACUGAGACACGGCCCAGACUCCUACGGGAGGCAGCAGUGGGGAAUAUUGGACAAUGGGCGAAAGCCUGAUCCAGCAACGCCGUGUGUGUGAAGAAGGCCUUCGGGUUGUAAAGCACUUUUAGUUGGGAAGAAAAGCUCAUGGGUAAUAUCCAUGAGUGCUGACGUUACCAACAGAAAAAGCACUGGCUAACUCUGUGCCAGCCGCCGCCGUAA